GAGUUUGAUCCUGGCUCAGGAUGAACGCUAGCUACAGGCUUAACACAUGCAAGUCGAGGGGCAGCAUCGCGAUAGCUUGCUAUUGCGGAUGGCGACCGGCGCACGGGUGAGUAACGCGUAUCCAACCUUCCCGCAACUGGGGAAUAACCUUGCGAAAGUAAGACUAAUACCCCAUGGUCUCCAUAGAAGGCAUCUGAAAUGGAGUAAAGGUUUCGGCCGGUUGCGGAUGGGGAUGCGUCCGAUUAGCUUGACGGCGGGGUAACGGCCCACCGUGGCAUCGAUCGGUAGGGGUUCUGAGAGGAAGGUCCCCCACAUUGGAACUGAGACACGGUCCAAACUCCUACGGGAGGCAGCAGUGAGGAAUAUUGGUCAAUGGGCGGAAGCCUGAACCAGCCAAGUAGCGUGAAGGACGACUGCCCUAUGGGUUGUAAACUUCUUUUAUGCGGGGAUAAAGUUCGCCACGUGUGGCGUUUUGCAGGUACCGCAUGAAUAAGGACCGGCUAAUUCCGUGCCAGCAGCCGCGGUAAUACGGAAGGUCCAGGCGUUAUCCGGAUUCAUUGGGUUUAAAGGGAGCGUAGGCCGCCUUUUAAGCGUGUUGUGAAAUGUAGGGGCUCAACCCCUGCACUGCAGCGCGAACUGGAGGGCUUGAGUACACACAAAGUAGGCGGAAUUCAUGGUGUAGCGGUGAAAUGCUUAGAUAUCAUGAAGAACCCCGAUGCGAAGGCAGCUUACUGGAGUGUAACUGACGCUGAAGGUCGAAAGCGCGGGUAUCGAACAGGAUUAGAUACCCUGGUAGUCCGCGCGGUAAACGAUGGAUGCCCGCUGUUUGCCACUUUGGUAAGCGGCCAAGCGAAAGCGUUAAGCAUCCCACCUGGGGAGUACGCCGGCAACGGUGAAACUCAAAGGAAUUGACGGGGGCCCGCACAAGCGGAGGAACAUGUGGUUUAAUUCGAUGAUACGCGAGGAACCUUACCCGGGCUUGAAUUGCAGGAGAACGAUCCAGAGAUGGUGAGGCCCUUCGGGGCUCCUGUGAAGGUGCUGCAUGGUUGUCGUCAGCUCGUGCCGUGAGGUGUCGGCUUAAGUGCCAUAACGAGCGCGACCCCUCUCCGUAGUUGCCAUCGGGUGAAGCCGGGCACUCUGCGGAUACUGCCACCGUAAGGUGUGAGGAAGGUGGGGAUGACGUCAAAUCAGCACGGCCCUUACGUCCGGGGCUACACACGUGUUACAAUGGGGCAUACAGAAAGCAGGCGGCCGGCAACGUCCGUCUAAUCAUCAAAGUGUCCCUCAGUUCGGACUGGGGUCUGCAACCCGACCCCACGAAGCUGGAUUCGCUAGUAAUCGCGCAUCAGCCAUGGCGCGGUGAAUACGUUCCCGGGCCAAGUACACACCGCCCGUC
rnacentral:rRNA from 1 species